CAUCUAGGACACAGAAGAGGACAUCUGGCGGCCAGAUUUAUCUUCAGUUGUUGGGCGCAGGCUAGGUAGCCGUUUAGUCCCUACCUUCUUCUUUGUUCUUUGUUAGUUGAAGCGUGGCUUCGAGAGUGAAGGACGCCAUUAUCCUUCGAUUGGGGUUUCGAACUUUCGAUGUUAGCUGGAUUGUUGGCAGAUUGAUUGUUUAGAAUUUGUGAAUUGUGAUGUCUAACAGUUGGAUCGGGUUGGCGGACGGGGGGUGCUUGCUACUAUUUUGACGAAUCUUGAAGCUUAAGAUUUUGAAACCAUGCUGUCCACCAAUUCGUCUACGUCCAGAAGAUGAGUAACAUUUUACAUACAAUGUUCUGAAAGGUUGAUUAAACUGAUGAAAUUUAGGAUAAUGAUAUUUUUUUUGUUUGAUUGCAGGCACCUUUAGUAUAUGGAGCUUCACUCAUCCUAUCGUGUAUUCUACAUCUAUUUACCUUUGCUGUUAAAGUCAACAUGUACCCUAAUUGAAGGCAAAUGAAUUUUGAUGCUGAAAGACUUGGAAACCAUGCUGUCGACCACGUCGAGAAGCUGAGUAACAUUCUGCUUUUACAAUGGCACCUCUUAAUAAAAGAAACUUCAGCCAUCCAAUCUAGGGCUUCCAUCAAAUCGUGCAGGCUGCAUGGAAGUUGCAUUUACCUUUGCUGUGAACAUCAUGAACACAUACACUAUUUGAAGGUUCAUGUUUACGUAGCAGUGGUGUUGCUGUCCAAUGUGGUGUGUUGUUGCAGCCUAUGGUGGUGAAAGAUAUCUGCAUCAAGUUGCUGUUCCUUGUGCAUCCAAGUUUACCUUUAUAUAUUGAGAAGGAACAAAAAAAUAGUAAUACGGGGAGGUUUAUGUCAAA